CCCAGGCUGCCAACUGAUCCCUCUCGUGUCUGCAGUAACCCGAAUGUAGUCUAGUAAGGUUUGCUCAAGUGAGAUGGAAAACGAAGAGGUAGGCUCCAAAACAGACUUGCGGUGAGUGUUUUGUAUGACUUGGGGCUUCUAGAACAACCUGUAUUUUUCCAUAAAAUUGAAAUGGGCUUGGUGUCGGUUGUCCCUUACUCUCACCUUGCUGUCACCAGGUCCUCUUCCUUUGCCCAUCUUUAGGGCUCCCCAGUUCUGAUGGGAUCUCAGUGCCACCUUCUGAUCCCACAAAGCUUGGCUCUGUCCUUGGCCUUUUGGGUUCCAGAGCGUUUGCUACAGGUUAUGGAGUGUUUCUCUUCUCUCUCUUCUUGUCUUCCAUGUUGCCCGUUGGCGCCUCGGUGGAGUUUCAGUGACCCAAACGCAGACGGCUCUGCGUUGACCAAGCGUGAUGCCAAGAGAAGAGGUAGGCACCAGAACAGGCUGCUGGUGAGUGCUGUGCAUGACUCGGGGUUCUUAGAACGACUUGCGUUCCUCCCUAACCCGUGUUUUUCAGUACUACUAUUGAGGGUUUUCACUUUGAUUCUAGGAUAGGAGACUCUACCAUCAGAUGGCGUUGCCUGUUCUUCUCUCCCCAGCUUGCAGAGUUGGAUGUGACCUCAGCGUGGAUAAGGGGUAAGUGAUUCCUUCAUCCCGACCAGAAGGUAAUCUCUACUUGUCUUGUGCUGUGCGGAGCAGGUUGCAGUGGAGAAGUGCAGUUGUCCGGGGCGCUGCAAGGACUCUAUUGAGGCAUUUGGUGGACGCCGCAGGAACCCACAGCCAGAGAUGGACGCCAAGACGCACUCCUUCCUCUGUCUGGCAAGCUCUGCUGACCCCUGAGGUUUUUCCCAUGCUUGCAGAGGUCCUACGGGCUUGCUGUUGGUUGUCGCUUGUGCUCACCUUGCUGUCACCGGGUGUUCUUCCUUUACCCAUCUUAGGGCUCCCCAGUUCUGGUGGGAUUUCAGUACCCUCAGCUGAUCCCAGAGUGUAUGGAUUUGUUCUUUUAUCUUCAGAUUUAGUAUGUUUUCCUGCUGUUAUGUGAUGUUUGCCUUAGUUUUUUUAUUUAUUUUUUUUCCCGGGCUGACUAUUGAUACAUCCUCAGUCUGCAAUAAACCAAAUGAUUUCUAGUAAGGUUUUACCAAGUGACAUGGAAAAUGAAGUGGUAUAUUCUAAAACAGGCUUGCAGUGAGUCUGUCGUAUGACUUUGGGUUUCUAGCUUUACCUCUGUUUUUUUGUAAGCCAUUUGGUUCAGUACCUAAUAUGAAAGUUUCUUUCCUUCUGGUAUUGGAGACUAAUCCACCACAUGUUGAUGCUUUCCUGACCUCCUUGAUUGCAGUGUGGGAUGUGCCCUGAUCCUUGGAAAGGGGUGAGUGAUUCCUGCAUCCUCACUAGAAGGUAAUCUCUACUUACUUUUUCUUGUGUCCAUCAGGUGGCGCUGGAGAGUUGUGACCCUGCUGAGCAGUGCAAGGACUCUACUGAGGCUCUUGGUGGACUCAGUAGGAACCCACACCCAUACGUGGAUGCCAAUAUCUAUUCCUUCCUCUGUCUGGCAAGCUCUGGUGUCCCCUGAGGUCAUUCCCAUGCUUGCAGAGGUCCUAUGGUCUUGUUGGUUGUCACUUGUGCUCACUGGGCUUAUCAAGGGUGUUCCUCUUGCUUGACACCACCUUUCCCAUCCUCUAUUUCCAAGCAGGAGCUCCCCUUGGCCUCCACGUCUCGCUCUGGCCAGGCAGAUGUGGUGUGCCAAUGGAUUAAAGCCUUCAGAAUCCAACCAAAAGAAAUGAGGAGAGAGGCUGCCGUGGGUGAGACAGGAGAAGUGCCCCUUUAAGCGGGGGACGCCCUGCUGGCACUGCCUCUCGCAUCCACCAGCAGCACGUUCCUUUUCUCUCCCUGCCCCUGGCGCUUUGCCGUCUCCCGGGGCUCACCAAGUCCAAAUGUUCCUUGAUGGAGACCAACUCCAGCUUGACCAUCACUCACCCCAUCUGUCCCUGCACCAGCUGGCUUAGGGCUCUCCAGUACUGCUGGAUGUCACUGCCUUCUGUUGCUCCCUGUCAACAUGGUGGUGUUCGUUCUUUUUAGGUUCAGUAACGUGUCUUCUUUUUAUGCAGUGUUACUCUUCUCUGUUUUCUUGUGUUUCAUGUUGCCUGUCAAUGCCUCUCUGGAGAUACACUGAAUGAAAUGUAAACUGAUGUUCUUUGACCAAGUGUGAUGGAAAAUGAAGAUGUAGGCUCCACUACAGCUAUCGUAUCCACUGUCCUAGUCGAAGCGGGAAGGACCAUUUUGACUAUUUGUCAACGCCCACAUGGCAAUCUGAAUUUAGGAGCCACUUUCACAGACGCGUCGCUGCAGGGCAAAGAAGGCCUCAAAACUUCAGCGGACCUCUACCCCCUAGAGAGCUCUGAAACUUAGGUUAAGAAUAUAAAUGUCUUAA